rnacentral:lncRNA from 1 species
CCUUAUUGCUUUCUACAACCCCCUGAAGGGAGGUUCUGGUGAAGUGAGUGGUCAGCUUCUUCUCCCAGCUAACAGCUAUAAGAUGAGAGGAAAUGACCUCAAGUUGCACCAGGGAGGUACAGGUUACUAGGAAAUCAGGAAAUAUUUCUCUGAAGGAGUGGUCAGGCACUGGAAUGGGCUGCCCAGGGAGGUGAUUGAGUCACCAGCCCUGGAGGUGCUCAAGAAACGUUCAGAUAUUGCACUGAGGGACACAAUUUAGUGGAGAAAUAUUGGUGGUAGGUGGAUGGUUGGACUGGGUGAUCUUGAAGAUCUUUUCCAACCUUGGUGAUUCUAUGAUUCUAUGAUCCUCCAUGACGACAGUGGUGUGGGGCUACUUCCAAGGUGACACUGGGUUGGAAGUCCUCCAAGCUGACACUGAGCAGUUUAUGAUCUCCAAGGCUCAGGAACCACUCAAGGCUUGGCAGAAACGUGAGUUACUCCACCAAAAGGAGAGCCCUGAAUUUGAUCCAUCAACUACAGCCAAGAACCCUUCCUUCAGAUCUGAUAAAGUCGUCAUUUUGAUGAAAAGAAGUGGAAAGAGGGGUGGAGAUCUCACCCUGAGAACAGAAUCACCAGCUUUCUAACACGAGGUUGAAACCACAGAUAACUCAGAAUUUGUUAAUGACUGCUUAUAAGGGAAAUGACUGUAGCAUUCACUUGUAGCAUUCAACUCCUUGUUUUGUUCUUUCUUUCUUUUAUUUUUUUCCUGGGAGUUGUCAUGUUCACCUGCAUUGCUAUACGGGAGCAAGAAGAAAUGAUUCAGAAGUUAAACACUGCUGUGAAGAGACCAUCAGCCUCACCAGCAUGUGCAAGCUCACAACUCCAGAAGGACCUUGCCGAGGAUGACUCCACCAGCACAAUCCACCAAUCUAUCACCUCCCAGAAUCCCACAUGAGAAGUGAGAUAUCCAGCCUCCCCAGCUGCUGAAUACAGGGAGAGCCUGCAAUAGAGCAGAGCAGCAGGGCAAACUACACAGAUGGCAGAGAGACUACUGAUCUCCCAACGUUCCUUCCAGUAUGGAUGCCUAGGACCUUCUCACUCUGGUAAAUUCAUGCCCAUCAUUUCCAGACUUUGCAGAGCUCCUUCCAGGGGAUGUUCCGGCAGUGAAGAGAUGCUCUGGACCCUCACUCUGCUGGAUUUAUUACCCAAGAGUACCAUGGUAUCCUGCUCUGUUGAGAACCCAAAUCUCUCAGCCCAAAUUUGGGAUGAACAGGGGAAGAAUCAAAGGCCAGGACAUGGCAAACGGAGGGCAACACAAUGACUGCGAGCCGUGACCCCAGAGGAAGCUCAUGGGGUUGAACCACGGCAGGAGGAAGCACUGUAAACCAUGGAGAAUGAAGAUGUCAAGGGCAGGAAAAGAGGGAGACUCAGCAGAGAGAUGAAGGGUUCUCAUCA